rnacentral:rRNA from 1 species
AGAGUUUGAUCCUGGCUCAGAGCGAACGCUGGCGGCGUGCUUAACACAUGCAAGUCGAGUGCGCAGCUUUCUGUAGCAAUACAGGGAGUAGGCGCACGGCGCACGGGUGCGUAACACGUGGGCAACAUGCCCUUGGAUGGGGAAUAACCCCGCGAAAGCGGGGCUAAUACCGCAUAACAUUCCUGGAACCUUGGUUUCGGGACUCAAAGCCGUAAGGCGUCCGAGGAGUGGCCCGCGCACGAUUAGCUAGUUGGCGAGGUAACGGCUCACCAAGGCGAUGAUCGUUAGCCGGUCUGAGAGGAUGGCCGGCCACACUGGAACUGAGACACGGUCCAGACUCCUACGGGAGGCAGCAGUGGGGAAUAUUGCGCAAUGGGCGAAAGCCUGACGCAGCGACGCCGCGUGGGGGAUGAAGCUUCUCGGAGUGUAAACCCCUUUCGACCCGGACGAAUGCCCCGCAAGGGGAGGGACGGUACGGGUAUAAGAAGCCCCGGCUAACUACGUGCCAGCAGCCGCGGUAAUACGUAGGGGGCCAGCGUUGCUCGGAAUAACUGGGCGUAAAGGGUUCGUAGGCGGUGCGGAAAGUUGGGAGUGAAAUCUCUGGGCUUAACUCAGGGACUGCUUUCAAAACUUCCGUGCUCGAGUGCGAGAGAGGCAAGUGGAAUUGCAGGUGUAGCGGUGAAAUGCGUAGAUAUCUGCAGGAACACCCGUGGCGAAGGCGGCUUGCUGGAUCGCAACUGACGCUGAGGAACGAAAGCUAGGGGAGCAAACAGGAUUAGAUACCCUGGUAGUCCUAGCCCUAAACGAUCAGAACUUGGGGUGCAUCCCGUUGGGGGUGCGUCUCGUAGCUAACGCGUUAAGUUCUGCGCCUGGGGAGUACGGUCGCAAGACUGAAACUCAAGGAAUUGACGGGGCCCGCACAAGCGGUGGAACAUGUGGUUCAAUUCGAUGCAACGCGAGAACCUUACCUGGCUUGAACUGCACCGGACAAAGGUAGA